CACCUGAUCCCAUCCCGAACUCAGAAGUGAAACCGCUCAGCGCCGAUGGUAGUGUGGGGUCUCCCCAUGUGAGAGUAGGUCAUCGUCAGGC
rnacentral:rRNA from 1 species